rnacentral:lncRNA from 10 species
GGAGUUGGAGGCUGCGCUGAGGUAUGAUUACACCAUUACACUCCAACCUGGGCACCAGAGCAAGAUCUUUUAAAGCUGGUGUUAGAAAUUCAGGCCAGGCCUGGUGGCUCAUGCCUGUAAUCACAAUGCUUUGGGAGGCCAAAGUGAAAGGAUCACUUGAGGCCAACUCUUUCUUACUGCUCUUGGAUGUUUUUCAGGGCAUAAGCAGGCUGCUAUUAAAAUUGACUGAUUUAAAAAAUAAAGCUAACAGCUUAUGCUGAAAUUAACCUCGUCUUUGUGAGCCAAAGAUCAAAUGCGAGACAAAAGCUGGCUAGAGUCAUCAUUUCCUCAGCUCUGCAAUCACCUUACAACUUAAGACCAUUUUCACAGUGGAGACAGUUGUUAAAAGUUCUGACAAGCCCUGCGGUAACCUUUGAUUACAAAGCCACUCC